rnacentral:lncRNA from 1 species
CACACACACACACAAUUAUUACUAUCGACUUAAGAGAGAAAACAUUAACAGUUUCAUAGCAGUGCUAUUGACAACAACCACAAAGGUGAAAAUGACCCAAAUGUCCAUCAGUAGAUAAAUGGAAAAAUAAAACAUGGUAUAUGGAAUAUAAUAUAAUAUGGAAUAUGAUUCAGACUUAAAAACAAAGGAAAUUCUGACACAUGCUGCAACAAGAUAAACCUUGAAGACAUGCUAAGUGAAAUAAGCCAGACAUGAAUGGACAAAUAUGGUAUGAUUCCAUUAAUAUGAAGUACCUAGAGUAUUUCAAUUCAUGGAAACAGAAAACAGAAUGAUGGGCCCAAGGGCUGGGCGUGGAGGCUUAUGCCCGUAAUUCCAGCACUUUGAGAGGCCAAGGCGGGUGGAUCAUCUGAGGUCGGGAGUUCGAGACCAGUCUGACCAACAUGGAGAAACCCUAUCUCAUGGCCGGGUGUGGUGGCUCAUGCCUGUAAUCCCAGCAGUUUGGGAGGCCGAGGCGGGCUGAUCACCUGAGGUCGGGAGUUUGAGACCAGCCUGACCUGCAGGGAGAAACCCUGUC